UACGAAGGGGGCUAGCGUUGCUCGGAAUUACUGGGCGUAAAGGGCGGGUAGGCGGCCACCGCAAGUCAGUUGUGAAAUCUCUGGGCUUAACCCAGAAAGGUCAACUGAUACUGCGGGGCUAGAGUGCAGAAGGGGCAACUGGAAUUCUCGGUGUAGCGGUGAAAUGCGCAGAUAUCAGGAAGAACACCCAUGGCGAAAGCAGCUCUCUGGGACGGUACUGACGCUGAGACGCGAAAGCGUGGGGAGCGAACAGG
rnacentral:rRNA from 1 species